AAGGAUUAUCCGGUCAAUCUUCAUCAAGACUUGUUCUUGAUAA
rnacentral:misc_RNA from 1 species